UACGGGGGGGGCAAGCGUUGUUCGGAAUUACUGGGCGUAAAGGGCUCGUAGGCGGCCAACUAAGUCGGAUGUGAAAUCCCCAGGCUUAACCUGGGAACUGCAUCCGAUACUGGAUGGCUUGAAUCCGGGAGAGGGAUGCAGAAUUCCAGGUGUAGCGGUGAAAUGCGUAGAUAUUGGGAGGAACACCAGUGGCGAAGGCGGCUCACUGGACUGGUACUGACGCUGAGGCGCGAAAGCGUGGGGAGCAAACAGG
rnacentral:rRNA from 1 species